rnacentral:rRNA from 1 species
ACGCUCGACACCUACGGAGGGCAGCAGUGGGGAAUAUUGCACAAUGGGGGAAACCCUGAUGCAGCGACGCCGCGUGAGUGAAGAAGUAUUUCGGUAUGUAAAGCUCUAUCAGCAGGGAAGAAGAUGACGGUACCUGAGUAAGAAGCCCCGGCUAACUACGUGCCANCAGCCGCGGUAAUCUGAGCGGGCUGGCAAGGC